AAUAUCUGAGUGUGUGCCCACCAUUAAGCACAUCCAGAUACUGUAUUUAGGGUUUCUUGUAUAGUAAAAUACAAAACAUGUGACAAGUUUUUCUUCUAUCCAUAAAAAUCAGCUCAGAAAUUAUUGUAGCAAUCAUGUCA